UCAUUUGGAGCUGGCUGCAAAUGACUCUUCUCUCUGACAUGGGGCACCUUCUGAACUCUUCUCACAGAGGCCACCCCUGCAGCCCCAUUGCUACUAAACCUUGCCAUCCAAGAAAAUCAGAGAUAUGUGUUCCAAACAGGACCACAUAUAUGUGUGUUUUUCACAGCCCCUGUAUUUUCCUCAUUUUAUAAAUCAAAUACCUUGUAAAUUGGACAAAGUCUGAUACCAGGUUAUAUUCUUCACAUUGAGCUACAACUGCAGACUUCUUGAUCACCAGGAGUGAAAGUCCCGUUCCUCCAUGCCUGAGUCAAUUUUAUGUGUCGCACCUGGACCUGACAUUGGUGUGCAUAAGUUCUGGAAAAAAAAAAAUUUAGAAAAUAGAAGCCAAAACAAAACAAAAUAAAGCAACUGAUUCCCAGGAGAAAUAACAAUAAGUAAAAUAUUUUUUUCAUAUUUAAAUUGUAGUUGAUGAUUUUAGCUUUUACACACUCUCUUGAAACUUGUUUGCACUGAAAGGGGCAAUGCGUAACCAUUUGUCAAUGUUUUCUGCUUUAGUAGAAAAACUCACCUACUUUUCCUUCACUUACACGUGAACAUCAUUUGUUAUUACAGAAUACAUUCCUUAUGUGUCUGUAAAUGU